GAUGUGCUGUAUUGUGGCUUCCGUGGAACCAUAAUAUAAUAAUGGAAUUAGGGCUUUAUCUUUAUAAUCAGAAUGACCUCUUCCUUCUUUCCAGAUAAACCUUUUCUGAUCUCUCUCCAUCAGGCUUGUUUUAUGAGGGGACAUGGUCACGCUUGGGAUUUCCCAAUCGUCUUUUCAUUGUAAGGAAGUUUUGCUGAACUUCUUUCAGCUUGAGCACUCGUAUGUGAGACAGUAAUCACCAAAUUAUCCCCAGAGAGAGAAAAGUCUGGCUUGUUACUGUGGUAGGGUCCCCUGGUGAUGGGAACGGAGAAUAAUGGGUGGGCGGAGGGUUUUCUCACAGUCCACCGACUGCUGCUGGCCCACCCAUGGUGUCUGACCGCUGUGAGACCUCAAGGAAGGCACCUUUUAAUGUUAAUGUGCUGUGUCGGAGAAAUAGCAUUUAAAAGUAUGUGUUUGUUUCUCCACGCGAAUGUAUUCACGACUGGAGGAUGCGGUGAGAAGAAAUUUAGCGAUGUGGAAAUGCGCCCGUGACACAGCCCCACACGGGUGACUUUAUUUGAAGAGUUUUAAGACACUGAGGACUUACAAGAUAAGAAAUUGCUUGGGGAGGUUUUUAAAAUUUCUAUAAAGUUUCUAUUGUGGAGUCUGCAGGCAUGUGGAUAGAAGCUCCAAGGGAAUAUUGUGCUGUGCUGGAUACAGAAUUCAGUUUGCUUUGAAUCAAGUUUUGGGUUUAAAAGUCUGAUGGAAAAUGUAUUGCAUUUCCAGUGAAGAAAAGAGCUCAUUUAAGAACUUUCCCAACCACCAUACCUCCCCAUCUCCCAUUACUGGCCUUGGUGUACAUUUUGCAGUUUUUCCUGUAUGAUCACUGUGUGUAGGGGAACUAUUCGUGUGCAAUCGAGCCGAUGCUUGGAGGUGUUUCCGUGUGUAUGUGUGUGCAUGUGCGCAUGCACACAUGCACAUCUGUGCACACGCACACUCUUGUCGCCACCCGUGGAUCUCAUUUUGCAACUGGUUACAAGAAGAUCCUCUGAGAGCUUCACUGUUACAAGAGAUAAAGAUGAGGCUUUGGUGGUGAAAGGUCCUUGCAGAUCAUCUGGCCUCGUCCUGAGAAACUGGCCCCCCGAGACAUCAUGGAGUCAGAUGGCACCACAUGCCAGACUUUGGAUUCCUGGACCAAGGACUCUGCAUUGACUCCUGCCACCACCGUGCCACUCCCAGGUCACUUACAAAAUAUUGAGGGCGUUUUGUUUUUUUUUUUUUUAACUUGCACUAAGCAAUUCUUAUUUAGUCCAUUGAAUAAAGGGGGGAAAUAGUUUAAAGUGUCUAAAAACAAAACACAAAAAUGCUUGUUUUGAUAACCCGGGGACAAAAUAACACAAAAACACCUGACUUCUGAGGCAGGAUGGGCCCGUACCUUCCUCUGGCACGUUUUCCUUGGGCUUUUUCUAUUUUCCAUCUUCUAACCAAUGCGUGUUAUUUAAAAGACUCUUAAUGGUUGCAUUUCCCCUGUAUGCCUGGAAAACCUCACUUUUAUUUAUUAUUAUUAUUUUUAGCUUUGUAGUUUAUGAAACACCUGAAAGAACCAGGGCGGAGUUAGUAGCACAUUUAUGAUAGGCCGGGGCCCGGGGCCAGGAGCCCAGAGACCUGCCGUCAGUGUUGGGGUGAUGGAUGCCCCGGGGCACUUCUUUCAUCUCGGGGAGAAAGAGCAUCUUUCUCACUUCACUCCCAAGAGGAGGAUUUCCAUAAAAAUGUAGUGUAAACUAUUCCCCAUAAAUAUACUCAUUCCAUUGUUUCUGGCAUCGAAAUUAAAAAUUCCCAACCUUUGAAAUGAAUGGUAGGUUCGAUUUCAUGUGAUUUUUUUUUUUUUUUUAAACUGACAACUAAUACGAGCUGUGUGUGCGUAUGUAACACACAGUGGACUAGAGGAGGUCAGUAUGGAAAAAAGAUUCCACUGAGGUCCAGCAAGGAGCGACAUAGGAAUUCUGGGGGUGUGUAUUAGUGUAAAUACUCUAUGUGUGGUCUAGGCCAAUAGUUUUAGUUUUUAAAAAUAAAGCACCGUUUUUGGCUUUAAAAAUAUCACGCCCUCAAGUGGUGAGGAAUAAAAUGUCAGAUAUUCUUCAGCUUUAAUUAUUUUUUAAUUUUAUUCAGGUCAGAGCACUUUUUUUAUAGCAAUACAACAGGCAAGAGAAUACUCAAACAUAUUUAAAAUUGUGUUUAUACCAAGAGUACGUUUUAAAUAUUUUCUAAUACUUGAGCAGUUUGUCUGGCCGGCUUCCAAAUAUGCCAAAAGUUAUGCAUUCAAUGUGUUAACACAUAAGCUUUUUACUAAUAAUUCUUAAGUGUUCCCAAAGCAACUGAUGUUUACAGGGCUUGUGUUUUUCUUCCUUCUUUAGAAGGAUCGGGGUCCACAACAAACUUACUGUACAAAACACUAACGAUGGGCUAACUUCUGGUGUAACGCGUGAGUUGGCUACGACCUUGAUGUAAAAAUUUGUAAAGGAAAUUUUGCACCAUUUUGAGUGUCAGAUGUAUUUUUAACUGUCUGGUUUGUACUUUUACGACUUUUGUACUACCAAAACAGAGUUAAAAAUAAAAACGUUGAACACA